UUGGGUUUCCUAAGCGUUUUUGUAUAAUUUUUCUGUUAUUCGAUCGAUUUAGUCAAAAUAUUGUGUUCUGUGUUCCCCGGUCCCUAUACCAUCAUCUUGAACCAACACUAAGUUGAAUUUUUUAUUAGCUAACACCCUGAACCUAUAUAAAUCUUUCUUCAAGGAUUGCCAAGAACGCGGACAAGUGUUUUCAUCAAGUAAGUUGUAAUAAUUCUGUAUAACCCUUUUUAUUUUUUUUCUUGCGGUCCGAAGUCAUAUUUUACGCUUUUCUGCAAUCUGAUUGGCUACGUGAGCGGUCCGUAUGAGCCCGUACGGACCGCGCGAGAUUUAAAGCCGUAGAGCCAAUGUUUUUAUUUUUC